UACGUAGGGUGCGAGCGUUAUCCGGAAUUAUUGGGCGUAAAGAGCUCGUAGGCGGUUUGUCACGUCUGCUGUGAAAACUGGAGGCUCAACCUUCAGCCUGCAGUGGGUACGGGCAGACUAGAGUGCGGUAGGGGAGAUUGGAAUUCCUGGUGUAGCGGUGGAAUGCGCAGAUAUCAGGAGGAACACCGAUGGCGAAGGCAGAUCUCUGGGCCGUUACUGACGCUGAGGAGCGAAAGCGUGGGGAGCGAACAGGAUUAGAUACCCUGGUAGUCCACGCCGUAAACGGUGGGCGCUAGAUGUGGGGACCAUUCCACGGUUUCCGUGUCGCAGCUAACGCAUUAAGCGCCCCGCCUGGGGAGUACGGCCGCAAGGCUA
rnacentral:rRNA from 1 species